GACGAACGCUGGCGGCGUGCCUAAUACAUGCAAGUAGAACGCUGAAGGAGGAGCUUGCUUCUCCGGAUGAGUUGCGAACGGGUGAGUAACGCGUAGGUAACCUGCCUGGUAGCGGGGGAUAACUAUUGGAAACGAUAGCUAAUACCGCAUAAUAUUGAUUAUUGCAUGAUAGUCAAUUAAAAGGUGCAAUUGCAUCACUACCAGAUGGACCUGCGUUGUAUUAGCUAGUUGGUGGGGUAACGGCUCACCAAGGCAACGAUACAUAGCCGACCUGAGAGGGUGAUCGGCCACACUGGGACUGAGACACGGCCCAGACUCCUACGGGAGGCAGCAGUAGGGAAUCUUCGGCAAUGGACGGAAGUCUGACCGAGCAACGCCGCGUGAGUGAAGAAGGUUUUCGGAUCGUAAAGCUCUGUUGUAAGAGAAGAACGAGUGUGAGAGUGGAAAGUUCACACUG
rnacentral:rRNA from 1 species